rnacentral:rRNA from 1 species
CCUACGGGAGGCAGCAGUGGGGAAUAUUGGGCAAUGGGCGCAAGCCUGACCCAGCAACGCCGCGUGAAGGAAGAAGGCUUUCGGGUUGUAAACUUCUUUUGUCAGGGACGAAGCAAGUGACGGUACCUGACGAAUAAGCCACGGCUAACUACGUGCCAGCAGCCGCGGUAAUACGUAGGUGGCAAGCGUUAUCCGGAUUUAUUGGGUGUAAAGGGAGCGUAGACGGCGUGCCAAGUCUGAUGUGAAAGGCCGGGGCUCAACCCCGGGACUGCAUUGGAAACUGGCAUGCUGGAGUGCCGGGGGGGCAAGCGGAAUUCCUAGUGUAGCGGUGAAAUGCGUAGAUAUUAGGAGGAACACCGGUGGCGAAGGCGGCCUGCUGGACUGUGACUGACGUUGAGGCCCGAAGGCGUGGGGAGCAAACAGGAUUAGAUACCCCAGUAGUC